UCCUGCAGCUCUUAAGCAGGUGCUUGGGUCUACAACACCCUUUUGCCUCCGCCCCCUGCUGAAGAGACAACCAGGAAGAGGCAGGAUGGCCAGACCCCCCUGUGCUUCCUCAACCCCCUCUGGAACUACUCACAGCAAAGACAGUAAUUAAAUGUUUCACAAAUUAAAUAAACAAUCAAAA